rnacentral:rRNA from 1 species
AUUGAACGCUAGCGGGAUGCCUUACACAUGCAAGUCGAACGGCAGCACGGACUUCGGUCUGGUGGCGAGUGGCGAACGGGUGAGUAAUGUAUCGGAACGUGCCCAGUAGCGGGGGAUAACUACGCGAAAGCGUAGCUAAUACCGCAUACGCGCUACGGGGGAAAGCAGGGGAUCGUAAGACCUUGCACUAUUGGAGCGGCCGAUAUCGGAUUAGCUAGUUGGUGAGGUAAUGGCUCACCAAGGCGACGAUCCGUAGCUGGUUUGAGAGGACGACCAGCCACACUGGAACUGAGACACGGCCCAGACUCCUACGGGAGGCAGCAGUGGGGAAUUUUGGACAAUGGGGGAAAGCCUGGUCCAGCCAUCCCGCGUGUGCGAUGAGGGCCUUCGGGUUGUAAAGCACUUUUGGCAGGAAAGAAAUGGCGUGUGUUAAUACCAUGCGCAGAUGACGGUACCUGCAGAAUAAGCACCGGCUAACUACGUGCCAGCCGCCGCCGUAA